rnacentral:rRNA from 1 species
UACGUAGGGUGCAAGCGUUGUCCGGAAUUAUUGGGCGUAAAGAGCUCGUAGGCGGUUUGUCGCGUCUGCUGUGAAAACGCGAGGCUCAACCUCGCGCCUGCAGUGGGUACGGGCAGACUAGAGUGCGGUAGGGGAGAUUGGAAUUCCUGGUGUAGCGGUGGAAUGCGCAGAUAUCAGGAGGAACACCGAUGGCGAAGGCAGAUCUCUGGGACGGUAUUGACGCUAAGGCGCGAAAGCGUGGGGAGCAAACAGG